CCGGCGCCAACGCUGGAGCCCCCGGCGCCUACCCUGGAGCCCCAGUCGCCUUCCCUGCAGCCCCGGGAGCCAACGCCGGAGCCCCAGUCGCCUUCGUUGGAGCCCCCGGCGCCUACCCUGGGGCCCCCGGCGCCUAUCCUGGAGCCCCUGGCACCUACCCUAGAGCCCCAGUCAUUCAUCCAGGACCCAGAGCCCCACCCACCUACCCACAAGUUUCUGGAACCCCACCCACCACUCAGCCAGAGUCUGGAGCCCCACCCACUUAUCUGCCAGGUCCUGAAGCACCAAUUACAGAUCAGCCAGUCCCUAUUGAUCCAGUAACUGGUCAGCCAACGUUUGUAGCCCCAGGCAUAGACCAGCCCACUCCUACUGAUCAGCCGAUCCAUGGAACCCCCCCCUACAUCUCUGCCGGGGCUUGGAGCCGCAGGCCAAUAUCCAGCAAGUCCUGUGCCCCCACCCACGUAUCAGCCAGGUCCCUGGCCAUAUCCUAUAGCCCCAGAAACAGUUUCUUCAGCUACCGUAGCCCCAACAGCUGCUCCUGGUGUGAAUCAAAGAUUAUUAUUUCAGCUCGGAGGUGUACCCUCGGGGGCUUCUGUAAUUUCAGGUGCUGAUCAGCCUGGCUUUGUUGCCUCAGGCACCACACCGAGUGAACAACCUGUGCGCCAAGUUGGCGUUCAAACUGUAUUGUCUUCCCAAUCCCAGUCAGUUUUGUGCCACCCUAUCUUCCCUACACGCCACCCCAGCCUCCCUACGCAUUGCCACAGCCUGCCUUGGGGCCACAACCACCGUGGUCGAGCACAUCGUUUAUGUACUCUCUACAUCCAUACCAGCAACAUCGAACACCGAGCCAAAAAAGCAAAGAAGGAGAGGGUUUCAGCUUCCCCUUUGCCUUAGAGACCCUGCGUUUGAUGGGGGAGCUUACCAACUACUACCUGAUUCUGAAGGAGCAGAUGGGGGCACUGGAUGAAGAUGCUGGCCACUCAGAGCUGGAGAAGUUACAAUUCCUGAUAGGGAAAUUAACCAAUAAGACCAUCCCUGAUGACAUGCUGGAACAGCUGCGUGGUCUUAAAGCCUUAACCAAAGAAAUUCAAGAGGAGAGGGAAAAAAUGAAGUUAAUGCAGCGAAUCCUGGAAGGAGAAGAGGAAGAGGCUGAAGAGGAGAGAGAAAGGUCUGGCCAUCUGAGUCUGCAGCUAAAUAUUCUCAGAUCGAAUGUGAAUGACAUAGAGAAGGAGCUGGCCCUGCUGAGGGAACGGCAGGAGCAGGGCAAGGCCAUCGUGGAACAGUCAGUGACUGAAGCCACACUUUAUCUACAGGAACAGUUAGAUAAGCUCAGGUUGAUCAUAGAAAGCAUGCUUACCUCAUCGUCCACCCUGCUGUCCAUGAGCAUGGCACCGCCUAAGACGCCAGCACCCUUGAACCCAGACAAAAUUGACCCAAACGCUACCUGUCCAGCUUGUAGCCUAGACCUAAGCCAGCAAGUCAGCAGGCUAGUACAGCGUUAUGAGCAGCUCCAGGAUAUGGUCAACAAUCUGAUGAUAUCUCGGCCCUCGAAGAAGUAUCAGCUCCAGAAUCAGGAUGAAGAGCUACUAGGUCAUAUCCAGGCCACUAUCCUUCAGGUGCAAGGUGACUGUGAGAAACUUAACAUCACCACAGGCAAUCUCAUUGAGGACCACAGGCAAAAGCAGAAAGACAUUGAGGUCCUGUACCAGUCCCUAGAGAAGCUAGAAAAGGAGAAAGCCAACAGGGAACACUUGGAGAUGGAGAUUGAUGUGAAAGCGGAUAAGACUGCCCUCGCUGCCAAAGUAAGCCGAAUCCAGUUUGAUGCCACCACAGAGCAGCUGAACCAAAUGAUGCAGGAUCUGCUGACAAAGAUGACUGGACAGGAGAAGGACUGGAAGAAGAUCUUGGACAAGCUCUUGGUAGAAAUGGAUACCAAGCUGGAUCGCCUAGAGUUAGAUCCCGUGAAGAAGAUGCUGGAGGAAAGGUGGAAGGCCUUACGACAGCAGCUGAAGAAUCAAUCCCCUCUCUAUCAGGCUGAUGAAGCUGCCAUCAUGCGGAGGCAGGUUUUGGCACAUUUCCAUUGUCUCUCAUGCAACCGGCCCUUGGAAACAGCUAUAUCUGGACAGAUCAUUCCCUCAGUGCCUAGUGGCCCAGGACUGCCAGCACAUCGUUCUAACCGUCCAUACACCAUCUACGAAUUGGAGCAAGUCCGACAGCAAAGCCGCAACAUGAGGUUGGGCACUGCCUUCCAACGUUCGGAGCUGGGACAGCUGGAGCGGAGCGUGGGCCGCCUACAUUCCAUGCACUCCAAAAUGCUGAUGGACAUAGAGAAGGUGCAGAUUCAUUUUGGAGGCUCAGUCAAGGCCAGCAGCCAGAUGAUCAGGGAGCUGAUCCAGGCCCAGUGCCUUGGUUCCUCUUACUACAAACGGCUUCAAGAUAUGCCAGACUACUCCUACAUGUCAGUGUCACGUCGCUGUGGUGGUAGCCAUACACUCACCUUCCCCUACCGCCGCUACGGCCGCUUACAGCACUUGGCUCACUGUAUCUACCCUGCAGAAGAUAUACAGGCCUCCUUGAAGCAUGAGGUGGACAUCUUGGGCCUGGAUGGACAUAUUUACAAGGGACGGUUGGAGACAAGGCUUCCUGUAAUCCCAACCAAGGAAAGUCCUAUGAAGAACAAACCAAAGAAUCUCGGUUCUGCUGGGCAAAACAGGCAAUCCCCUUCAAGACCGCAGAGCGCUCAGAUGACGGCGGCUUCUGUGACAUCCCUGCAAACGAAGGGCAGACCUGUCUCCUCACAAGGGCGCCUUACACAGCUUAAUGCCACACAUCCACCAAGUCCCACAACUGCUAACCCCAGUAACAACCCCUAAGAGAUUAGAGGAUGUUUACUGAGGUGCAUGCUGAUCUCCUCUACUCCACUCUGGGUGAAGACCAGGCAAGGAUACCCUGGGCCUCAGGAAACAUACCUUCAUGCAUAGAACUUGCCAAUAAAUGUUUGCAAAGAAGAUGCUGAAGUGGUCCCUGAACUAAGCAUUAAGAGAAGACAAGGACUGGAGAAGCAGAUGUGAAUUCCAGCCACAAAGACAUGCUAGACAGACGCGUGGUAGGAGACAGGGUGUACACUCCAGGAAACUGCUGGUAGUUCAGUCUGGUUAACACAGAGUUUGUGAAAGACAGUUAGAAGCCAGCUUUCAAAGAUUUUCAC